UUGGCUGGCCUUGUGCCUCAGCUCCCCAUCUGCAAAACUGGAAUAAUGGUACUCAUAGAGAACGGGUGAAGGGCAAACCUAGUACCUCACCUUAAAAGGGGGAACAAAGAGGAUCCUGGGAAUUACAGACCAGUCAGCCUAACUAGAAUAGCUGGAAAGAUACUGGAACAAAUUACUAAAUAAUCAUCUUAAAUAUCAAGUCUGUUCAUAUCCAGAGAUGCUGGAGGAAUACGUUUUUCAGCGACCGUAUGGGCCAUUUUCUCUUUUGCCACAUGUGAUUGUUGUUCCAUGGACCUCCGAGAGCCAGUGAAGAACUGGCCUAUGGAAUCACCUGUAGUGGAAUGACUGGAACCUGAGUGCAAAGAAAUGAAAACAGGGAAGAUCUUUUCCUGGAGAUCUAGAGGGAGAUGAAGGGGAACUCUGAAUGUGCCCGGUUGAGGAGGAGAAAACCAGAAUCACUUACAAAAGACAGGACAGGUUCAGGGCGAGAAAUUUACGCCUGAAUGAUUCUGGCACAAGAAGAAAAUGAGCACCAGAGAGAGAAAUUCUGUGUGUG